AUUGAACGCUGGCGGAAUGCUUUACACAUGCAAGUCGAACGGCAGCACGGGGGCAACCCUGGUGGCGAGUGGCGAACGGGUGAGUAAUACAUCGGAACGUGCCCAGUCGUGGGGGAUAACGUAGCGAAAGCUACGCUAAUACCGCAUACGAUCUACGGAUGAAAGCGGGGGAUCGCAAGACCUCGCGCGAUUGGAGCGGCCGAUGGCAGAUUAGGUAGUUGGUGGGGUAAAGGCUCACCAAGCCUUCGAUCUGUAGCUGGUCUGAGAGGACGACCAGCCACACUGGGACUGAGACACGGCCCAGACUCCUACGGGAGGCAGCAGUGGGGAAUUUUGGACAAUGGGCGAAAGCCUGAUCCAGCCAUUCCGCGUGCGGGAUGAAGGCCCUCGGGUUGUAAACUGCUUUUGUACGGAACGAAACGGUCCUUUUCUAAUACAGAGGGCUAAUGACGGUACCGUAAGAAUAAGCACCGGCUAACUACGUGCCAGCAGCCG
rnacentral:rRNA from 1 species